rnacentral:rRNA from 1 species
UUAGCAGUGAGGAAUAUUGGUCAAUAGCCUAACGGCUGAACCAGCAACUUGGAGGAAUGAAAAGCAAUAGCUGAUUGCAUUUAAUUUAAUGUAGUUACUACUUGGUAGUUUAAAUUUCUAGGUAGAAUUAUGAUGAUGACAUUAUCUAUCUAUUAGUCUUGACCAAAUUACGUGCCAGCAGUCGCGGUAAUACGUAGAAGACAAGUGUUAUUCAUCUUUAUUAGGUUUAAAGAGUACCAAGACGGUUAAUAAAGCCCAAAAGAAAUGAAUACGGGGGACAUAUUAACUAGAGUUAUAUGAAAGGAAGCUCUAAGGUACUGUUGAGUGGAGAGAUGAAAUUUGAUUAUACCAGAUGAGUGGCACAGAUUUAUGCGAAGGCAUCUUCUUAUGUAAUAACUGACGUUGUAGGACGAAGGCUUGGGAAGUAAACAGGAUUAGGUACCCCAGUAAUCUAGGCAGAAAAUGAUGAAUGUCAUAGGCUCAUUAAAUAUACCAUAUUUGCUCGUUAGGGCUGAUAAAAAGUAAAUAGGAUUAUAUUAGGGUCUAUAAAUGAAAGUGUAAGCAUUCCACCUCAAGAGUAAUUUGGCAACAUUGGAACUGAAAUCAUUAGACCGUUUCUGAAACCAGUAGUGAAGUAUGUUGUUUAAUUAGAUGAUACACAAAAACCUUACCACAACUUGAAUAUAUAUAAAAUAUAUUUACAAGCGCUGCACGGCUGUCUACAGUUAAUGUCGUGAGACUUUGGUUAGCUCCAUUAAAUUGACGUAAACCCAAAUUUUAUUUAUAAAUAUAAUUAACAUUAUUAUAUUUAAUGUUUUAAGAGGGAACAUGACAAGUCAUCAUGGCCGAAACUAUUGUGGGCUAUAGACGUGCCCCAUAA